rnacentral:tRNA from 1 species
GCUGGGGCUGAGUGGUAGAGUGCUUGCCUUGAAGGUGUGAGGCCCUGAGUUCGAUCCUCAGCACCA